rnacentral:rRNA from 1 species
GACGAACGCUGGCGGCGUGCUUAACACAUGCAAGUCGAACGGAAAGGCCCUGCUUUUGUGGGGUGCUCGCGUGGCGAACGGGUGAGUAACACGUGAGUAACCUGCCCUUGACUUUGGGAUAACUUCAGGAAACUGGGGCUAAUACCGGAUAGGAGCUCCUGCUGCAUGGUGGGGGUUGGAAAGUUUCGGCGGUUGGGGAUGGAUGCGCGGGUUAUCAGCUUGUUGGUGGGGUAGUGGCAUACCAAGGCAUUGACGGGUAGCCGGCCUGGGAGGGUGGCCGGCCACAUUGGGACUGAGAGACGGCCCAGACGCCUACGGGAGGCAGCAGUGGGGAAUAUUGCACAAUGGGCGGAAGCCUGAUGUAGCAACGCCGCGUGCGGGAUGACGGCCUUCGGGUGGUAAACCGCUUUCGCCUGUGACGAAGCGUGAGUGACGGUAAUGGGUGAAGAAGCACCGGCUAACUACGUG